rnacentral:rRNA from 1 species
AGAAUCAACGCUGGCGGCGUGCCUAACAUAUGCAAGUCGAACGAGAAAGUGGAGCAAUCCAUUAGUAAAGUGGCGCACGGGUGAGUAACACGUGACUAACCUACCCUUGAGUGGGGGAUAACCUAGGGAAACCUGGGCUAAUACCGCAUAAUACCUUCGGGUCAAAGGAGCAAUUCGCUUAAGGAGGGGGUCGCGGCCGAUUAGUUAGUUGGCGGGGUAAUGGCCCACCAAGACUAUGAUCGGUAU